rnacentral:lncRNA from 1 species
CUUGGCUGCAGGCUUGAUAGGUGUCACUGGUUCUCCUGAGAGAGUGAGUGGCUGAUGACAUCUCCCAGGCCUGGAAGCCUGGCUUCCAGUAAGGAGCCUUGUUUACCAGCUCAGAACAGGAAGCUUGGGUUGGACAUUGAACAGGGGAGAUGCAUUAAAGCUUGUCUGCAGAAGGAUCCGAGUGUCCUGCGUGUAUUUCUUGCUGGCGAGAACAUACAGCGCGCGGGACAUAUGGUGCCGAAACCCGGGAACAUGUGAACAUCUCCGGCAUUGCGGAGACCCCUCUAACGGGGCGGAUUCAGAACUGCAGGGUGGUAAAUUCGGAGAGGUAUGUUUUUUCUGGACUUUGGCUUGGGAAUGUUGCUAUUUUGGGAGG